AACUGGGAAACUUUUCAUGUGGAAGACAUACACAGCAAUAAGAGAGGUGGCAUCUUUCCUCACCACCUGAACACUGGGCCAUGAUGUGGACUGCUUGUACAGUUAAGGAAAUGCAGGGAUGGAGUUGGAAGCACCUUCUGUGUCAUUUCUCUUCCAGGUCCCAGGAUGAAAUCCCAGGAUGAUGGAGUGCCCCCUCAUGACUUGAAGCACCUGCUUGGCUGGGAACUGAAUUCGAGGUUCAUCAGACUAUCCCAUGGAUCCCACAGAA
rnacentral:lncRNA from 10 species